rnacentral:rRNA from 1 species
UACGGGGGGGGCAAGCGUUGUUCGGAAUUACUGGGCGUAAAGGGCUCGUAGGCGGCCAACUAAGUCGGACGUGAAAUCCCUCGGCUUAACCGGGGAACUGCGUCUGAUACUGGAUGGCUUGAGUUUGGGAGAGGGAUGCGGAAUUCCAGGUGUAGCGGUGAAAUGCGUAGAUAUCUGGAGGAACACCGGUGGCGAAGGCGGCAUCCUGGACCAAGACUGACGCUGAGGAGCGAAAGCCAGGGGAGCAAACGGG